CCUACGGGAGGCAGCAGUGAGGAAUAUUGGUCAAUGGGCGGGAGCCUGAACCAGCCAAGUCGCGUGAGGGAAGACGGUCCUAUGGAUUGUAAACCUCUUUAGGCGGGGAAGAACGGUCACUGUGCUAAUCAGCAGUGAAUUGACGGUAGCUGCAAGAGAAGCACCGGCCAACCCCGGGCCAGCAGCGGCGGUAAUACGGAGGGUGUGAGCGUGAAUCGGAAUUACGGGGCGGAAAGCGCUCGUAGGCGGUAUGUCAAGUCAAGGGUGAAAUCCCCGCGCUCAACGUGGGAACUGCCUUUGAAACUGCCAAACUUGAGUGUGUGAGAGGAUAGUGGAAUUCCAGGUGUAGGAGUGAAAUCCGUAGAUAUCUGGACGAACAUCAGUGGCGAAGGCGACUAUCUGGACAUAACUGACGCUGAGGAGCGAAAGCGUGGGUAGCAAACAGGAUUAGAUACCCGAGUAGUC
rnacentral:rRNA from 1 species